rnacentral:rRNA from 1 species
UACGGAGGGAGCUAGCGUUGUUCGGAAUUACUGGGCGUAAAGCGCACGUAGGCGGCUUUGUAAGUUAGAGGUGAAAGCCUGGAGCUCAACUCCAGAAUUGCCUUUGAUACUGCAUGGCUUGAAUCCAGGAGAGGUGAGUGGAAUUCCGAGUGUAGAGGUGAAAUUCGUAUGAUAUUCGGAAGAACACCAGUGGCGAAGGCGGCUCACUGGACUGGUAUUGACGCUGAGGUGCGAAAGCGUGGGGAGCAAACAGG